rnacentral:pre_miRNA from 1 species
GGGGGGAGGCGGGAUCCUGGGCUGUGUCCCCAGCGCCCAGUGCUCCUGGGCCUGCGCUGUUGGAUUCGGGCUCCCGGUCGCGCAGCCCCCU